GAUCGCGGAGAGGAAGCAAAGGCACAAAUGUCAGUCUAAGGGGAAGCGCCUGCCGGGGGGACUUCUCCCUCCAGACCCACCUGGAAGCUGCCUCACCUUCUCUCGCUACCGAGGGUCUGUCAUACAAAGUGAAAUCCAUCCACUAGGGAAUUGCGUGGCAGGAAGGUGUGAUUUUUAUUUAGUUUGCUCCUGAUUCCUUGUUUGCAUAGCACCUGCGUGCCGCCUGCAGCCCUGGGGUUCAGCUCUGUCAUCUGAGCCAUGAGGAUCUGGUGGCUCUUGUUCGUCUCCGGGGCCUGCGCAGGGAUGGUGAGCUCACAGGACACCUGCAGGCAGGGCCACCCUGGCGUCCCCGGGAACCCAGGUCACAAUGGAUUGCCCGGGAGAGAUGGACGUGAUGGAGCAAAGGGCGACAAGGGGGACGCAGGCGAACCAGGACAUCCUGGUGGCCCAGGGAAGGACGGGAUGACCGGAGAGAAAGGAGAACCAGGAGCCGAUGGAAACGUUGAAGCAAAGGGCGUCAAAGGUGAUCAGGGCUCAAGAGGCCCCCCAGGGAAACACGGGCCAAAGGGACUUGUGGGCCCCAUGGGAGAGAAAGGCCUCAGAGGAGAGACCGGCGCCCAAGGGCAGAAGGGGGAGAAGGGCGACGUGGGUCCCGUUGGCCCAGAAGGGCCAAAGGGCAGCACUGGACCUUCGGGCCCAACUGGUUUACCUGGCCCCGUGGGCCCCACCGGAAAGCCGGGUCCCAGGGGAGAUGCCGGCCCCCUGGGGCCCCAGGGUGAGCCCGGAGCCCGGGGAAUGAGAGGCUGGAAAGGGGAUCGAGGAGAAAAAGGGAAAAUUGGGGAGACGCCAGUCUUGCCCAAAAGCGCCUUCACCGUGGGGCUCACGGUGCUGAGCAAGUUCCCUCCGUCAGACGUGCCCAUCAAGUUCGACAGGAUCCUGUACAACGAGUUUGGCCACUACAGCGUGGCCACGGGGAAAUUCACCUGCCACGUCGCCGGCGUCUAUUACUUCACCUACCACAUCACCGUUUUCUCCAGGAACGUCCAGGUGUCUUUGGUCAAAAACGGGGUAAAAGUCCUGCACACCAAGGACGGUUACAUGAGCUCCGAGGACCAGGCGUCCGGUGGCAUCGUCCUGCAGCUGAAGCUCGGGGACGAGGUGUGGUUGCAGGUGACGGGAGGGGAGAGGUUCAACGGCCUGUUUGCGGAUGAGGACGACGACACCACGUUCACGGGCUUCCUUCUGUUCAGCAGCGCGUGAUGGGUCGGGGGGCGGGGAGCAGUUCUAACUCUGUCUCUCCAUCCGCCCGAAUCAGCUUGGUGAAGACAUUAUUUGAUGGUUUUACCACGUUAAUUAUAUCACCACUGUCAUAACCAUAAAAAGGUGAAAGUAGGAAAGUUAUUCCUAAAACUGAGUCUAUAGAACUCGCUAUCCUUCCAAGAGUAAAUGUAAAAAUACCUGCUCUGUUUAUUACAGUGUAUUUGAUAUUUUCCAUCAUUCCCGUGAUCUGAAGAAUCCUUUGCUCAGGCGUUCCUUGUGGGGAGUGUUUUGAUAUUUUAGUGCUCGAAGGAGCCGUGAGAUGCUGUAUCUCCCAUCUGAAUUCCGGAGGACAUUACAGGGAAAGAAAAGGAAGUGUUUAUUCCCUCUGUGACUAAUAAGAGUUUGGGCUGGUGACAGUGGCACAGCCCAGGAAACUGCAGGACACUCUGCUCACUUUCUAUCUUGGGUUUUCAUCACCAUUCAACUCAACAAACAGUUGUUAGUAAACUGUUUGCCAAACUUGACUCUGUUUUAGUUUCCCUCCGUAUCCACAGUUCCGUAUAUGCAGAUUCAACCAACCAUGGUUGGAAAAUAUUUGGAAAAAAAAAAUCAGGAAGUUCCAAAAAGCAAAACUUGAAUUUGCCAACCUGGAAACUGCUGACAUAGCAUUUACACUGUACUAGGUAAUUUAAAUAAUCUAGAGGGGAACUGCCCUGUGGUCCAGCGAAUAAUCCCCUCCUAAAAUUCUGGAAGUGUUAACUAUGCUUACGUUAACUCCAUACACUUUUCCAUUAGCUGAGAGCAACUAAUAAAGAAGCAAGAGGAGACAAGCCCAGUGCAUAUUCAAGCGACAGCAUCUUCCAGAUCACAGCCUGGGACUCUGACGGACUUACAGCCGUUCUCUCCACACGUCAGCCAAGUCAGCACAGUUGUGACAGUAUCUUCAUUCCUUGGGAAAAUGGGAAUUUUCUGAAUUAUCAUUAUAAGCAGUCAGCACUGCUAUAGAUGAAAAGGUGAAAAAUUACUUGGUUUUGGAAAACUUUGGAUAUAUGUGGAAAUCAUUUCUGUUUAUAGGUAUUUUAUUGGCUUUCCUUAAUGUAUGUUUCUUCUAGAACAGAGCCAGGACUCGGGUGAAGCACGUGAGACACCUCAAGUCCCCCACUUGCCUUGGCGCCCUAACGUUGGCCCAGCUGUAGGGACUGAUCAUUUUCUUUAUUGAGCCAGAGUGUCCUUAUGCUUUGGCUUCUUUCAAUUGCAAUAAGCCGAGCUGUUUUUCCCCAGUGUUAAGUCUGGUGUUGUUAUGGAUCAAACAAUUCAUGUACUAACUCCCUUCUAAUUAGGGUCAGAACUUUAUAGGUGAGAUAGGCGUAAAGAAAAAAAGUACAGUUUAUGACCAGAAUAUUGGAUACAAGCUUUCAUAAAAUUUUUUUUUUUUUGCAGGGCAAAUGUAUAAGAUGAAAUGUAAAACAUGUUAUAAAGAACUUCGAAAGGAUAAAGUUGAUUGGGGAGGUGUCUGAUCUGCCAUUUGGAAUUAUCUCUCAUCUGCUGUCUGUGGAUCUGGUCUGCAGUUUUUACAAGUCUAACUACGCCAGGCUCCCUGAGACACAAGACACCUCGUUAACGUAGCACAAGCCAGCAUCCUUUGAGGGUGUUUUUACGCUUCAAUUGUUUGCAUUAAAAAUGAUUUGACAGCUGUGUAAGGGCCUGCCGCGCAGGCCUGCAAUGUGGGGUGGCUGUCCCCAAGGACCAACCAGCCACAGACGAUGCGGUAUUAAUCGCCACGGAGUUAGGACUUCGGGGAUUUUAAAUAAUUUGGAAUCUGAUGAAAAAGUCAGCAGAAGAUGAAAUCACGACUUACUGUAUGUACACAAACGAACGCAGAAUUUCUAGUUAAGCUGUAGAGACUUGUGUAAGCGCACCCUGGCAUCGCCUUUACUAAAUUUUCAUUGUUCUCUUUUUAUCACUGGGGCUUUUUCUCCGCACCAGGCUACUCUGAAAACAAACUCCAUUUAACAGUAAAUUGUUGUGAGGACGAAAGGGGCGGGUUAGAAGCCCGCCCCAGUUGGCCCUCGCUUCUGGCUCUCUGGAACUUCAGAGAAUGUUCCGGGGCUGCUCACAUCCAACAGGUGUUCCCAGGAGCAGACUCUACCUCAGGCCCACGCAUUCAGGGCCUGUUUGGAGUUCCUGAGCUCAGCGCCCCAGAAGGAUUCCGUGUCGCCCAGGAGAAGGCCUUGAGGAAAACGGAGCAGCUGGUGCGCCGCGUGUGCUCUGCGCCUCCUGGGCCCCAG